GAUGAACGCUGGCGGCGUGCCUAAUACAUGCAAGUCGAGCGAACAGACGAGGAGCUUGCUCUUCUGACGUUAGCGGCGGGCGGGUGAGUAACACGUGGAUAACCUACCUCUAAGACUUGGAUAACUUCGGGAAACCGGAGCUAAUACCGGAUAACAUGUUGAACCGCAUGGUUCAACAGUGAAAGACGGUCUUGCUGUCACUUCUAGAUGGAUCCGCGCCGCAUUAGCUAGUUGGUAAGGUAACGGCUUACCAAGGCAACGACGCGUAGCCGGCGUGAGAGGGUGAUCGGCCACACUGGAACUGCGACACGGUCCAGACUCCGACGGGAGGCAGCAGUAGGGAAUCGGCCGCAAUGGGCGAAAGCCUGACGGAGCAACGCCGCGUGAGUGAAGAAGGUCUGCGGAUCGUAAAGCUCUGUGAGUAGUGAAGAACAAAUGUGUAAGUAACUAUGCACGUCUUGACGGUACCUAAUCAGAAAGCCCCGGCUAACUACGUG
rnacentral:rRNA from 1 species